rnacentral:rRNA from 1 species
UACGGAGGGUGCAAGCGUUGUCCGGAUUUAUUGGGUUUAAAGGGUGCGUAGGCGGCCUAUUAAGUCAGUGGUGAAAGCCUCCAGCUCAACUGGAGAACUGCCAUUGAUACUGAUAGGCUUGAGUACAGACGAGGUAGGCGGAAUUGAUUGUGUAGCGGUGAAAUGCAUAGAUACAAUCAAGAACACCGAUUGCGUAGGCAGCUAACUAGGCUGUAACUGACGCUGAGGCACGAAAGCGUGGGGAGCGAACAGG